UCGAUCGUCUUCACCAGAGUUUCUGGGUUUGCAUUAGCUAAGUGUGCUAAAGUUUUGUACCCUGCAUUAUAGAGCUGUUUAGCUCGUGCCUGUAAGACAGAAGUUGUGUCAGGUUAUUUUAAGAGGCAAUAAGAAUCCUCAAUCCACCUCAGACAUUUAUAUAUAUUUUUUUAAUAGUGAUCCAGGUUCCCUUGGAUUCACCUUUCCAAGAACAGCAAGCCUCAUACGAACUGGCACUAGCAAUUCAGAGGUACUGACUUAAACCUGAAAAACCUUACACAGUUCUAAGUAAACCAGGCAUCAUUACUUCCUCUGCACCUGCACAGUACUGUGUCUGCCACCCUCAUUUCUCUUUUGUCACGUUUUCUGCAUUUGCUGUCACUGACACAAAUCACUGCCUUAUCUUCUUUAGAAGAUAUAAAUGAAAUGAGAGCUUGUUGUGCCUGAAAAGUGUUGCCCCUAUUUUUCUGCAACUUUUAAUACCACCUCAUGAGCUUCCAUAGCACUCCAGAUAAGACUGCACUUUGCAGCUUAGAGCUUAUUAAUAUUUUUUUUGCUUUACUCAAUUGUAUCUUUUCCUCUAGUUUUACACCAAGUCAUGGCUGUUAGCUCACAAGGACAGGAGAGAUUCUCUGGAAUUUGACAGCUGAAAUCAGCAUGGGAGUACGUGUGGCCUGCUUCUCUUUACGAGGCUUGGUCCUGUUGUGGUAUAAGAAUGCAAUGCAGCCCAACAGUAAUUACUGUAUACAGUCUUUUUGGAGAUGUUUCUUUUGCAAAACUUACAGUGAUUGAACUUGUAUACAAAGUUUAAGUCAAAUGCAUUUCUAGGCUGGUUUUUAAAGCAUUUGGUAACGCCAAAGCUCUAACUGCCUGAGUAAUAAUUCCUAUCAGAUGGAAAAGUGGUACACUGCUGUAUGGGAACUGCUGAACCACAGCCUGAACCUCUGACUGAUCACCUGAGGCAAGCACUCAGUCAGCUGCCACAGCACAGGUGAAGGCAAUUCAGCUGUGUGACCGGAAGGGGUGGCACCAUUUAAGGGCUGCCUGCCACUGAGGAAGGAUCUCUUCUGGAGGUUGCUCUCUGUGGAGUUUCUUGUGAGUCUACAAUACUGCUUGUUGCAGAGUUGCAUCUGGCGCUCCUCAACUAAAUCUGGAAUGGUUAAGAAACAACCAAGACAGCUCUUUUCUCACAGUGACAUUCCAUCACCAGAAGGCCUCAUCUCACAAAGGAAAGUUUGUUGGUAGUGCAAUCUUAAUCCAAGAGGAAAGCGUAGCCCAAAUAAUCAUUGUUAUCUAUCAUUAUUGGCAAAAAGGAACUGCAAAAAGUCUGCGAGCACUGGUUUCCACAUGCAUUUUGUGUGCUUCUGGAACGUUUGAAUUAUCUUCUUUUGAAGAAACUCUUGUAUGAAACUGAGAGAUGGCUUCAGCCUGUAAAAUACAAGUGCUUUCCUUGUCCUACAUCUUUAUGCUAUGAGAUGAAAAAAAAUUGUACUUUCUGGUUGUAUGGGAACUUUUGAUCAUGGCCUGAACCUCUGCUUGACCACCUGAGACAAGCAAUGAGUCAGCUGCAGGAGCACAGGUGAAGGCAAUUCACUUGUGCUACCAGGAGGGGAUGCAGCCUGGCUCCACCUCUCUUAGACCCCUCUUAAGGACUGACUGCUACUGAGGAAGGAUGUGUCUGGAGGUCGCUCCUUGAGGAGUUUACUGUGAGCCUACAACACUGGAACUCACUAGCAACAUAAGGGGCUCUUAAAAUCACCCUGUAAAAAGAAAUCAUUGGUAAGUUGUGCUUAAUAUUAAAAUUACUGUAGUUGCAAUAUCAUAAAAAUGCAUUCUCUAGGUAUGCUUCAUGCUUUGCAACUUAGAUAAGCAACAUUGUACUUGUUUUGUUGAACACUUUUGGAAACAUCUAACACCUUGAAGUCUAAAUCAUAAUCCAUUUUAAUUGCUGCAGAGCCUUUGUAUUAGUCAAACACAAACAAUGUUGACACUAAGUCAGUAAUGCUAAAAACAGACCACAUUUCUCUGUUAGGAAAAUAAAGUUCUCUCUCCUCAGAUGUGUUACUCAAACACAGACACACAAAACUGGAUUCUAAGCAAACAGUCUGGUCUUGAAGACUGGGGCAAACUGUACUAUCAAUACCUGUGUAAUGAGUGCUAGCACAUUAUUCUGGUAAAAUGUUUAAACAUCUUCUCCUUAUAAAACAAUUUUUGGAUUUAAACAUUCUUGUAAAAGCAUUUAAAAAGCAUCAUCGCUUGCUCGUUAUUACUGAACACUGAAGAAAUUUCUCAAUAUAGUAGAAAUUCCUUCAUCUGUUCAGGAAAAUGUUCCUCAACUGUGCAUUCUGAGAGACUUGUAACUGACAUGUUUUUCCUAGAAUUAAAACUGCAAAGUUAUCAUCUGUCCUAAGCUCACUGUGUUAAAUUACUUCCUCCUGAAAUUUCCAAGUAACAGCUGAAAGAUAUUUAGAGUUCUGAUAUUUCCAUUUAAGGUUUAUUAUUAUUUACAAUGCAAGAAUGAAACAAUGUAAUAUUUUUGGUUAACUUACCUUCUUGCUGGCAGGUUAACACCAGCAGCUAAUGUAGCUGUGCAAGCAAGAAGACACAGG